CUUACUAUGAUGAUAUCAUUACCGCCCCAGUAUGACAGCUUUGAUUAUACGGUUCAACUGAACUUAU